CUAUGUCUUUUUCCAGCAAUGCGAGGACAGAGAAGCACUUGCACUGAUGAGUUUUUGAAAAAACUGCGCGUUUCCUCAUCAUGGGUUGCCAUGAUUCCAUCUGUUUUAUAUCCAAAGAUACUCCUUGAAGUAGGGUCAUCCCAGACAAGAAGCAGCACUCUUACUCCUUCCUGGGACUUGGACCUCAGCAGAUCCCCCAAUGUGAUAUUUGAUGGAUCACCAGCAUCUCGAAUCAGUUUAACAUUGUGCCAUACUGACCACCCUGUAAUGUAAAUUAAACGCCUGGCAUGUCGUAUCGCAUCAAAGAUGUCACGCCAACAUUUCCCAUGCACAUAAGACAACCCAUGAUCAAGUUUCAAACUUGGCAGACACCCAUCUGGAACAUGGGCAUCUUGAUAAAGAGUCACAGUUCCACCUUUCCUAAGAGGAAAAUAUGUGCCUGGUACUCCUUGAUAAUCAGGACCUGCACCCACGCCUUGAUGGUAAAUGCUCAGUUUCUCCAUCGGGGUGUAUUGAAUUGAAAUUUUCAAUACAGCUCC
rnacentral:misc_RNA from 1 species